rnacentral:rRNA from 1 species
GACGAACCGUGCAAACGUUGUUCGGAAUCACUGGGCUUAAAGGGCGCGUAUGCGGCUUAUCAAGUCGGGGGUGAAAUACUUCAGCUUAACUGGAGAAGUGCCUUCGAUACUGGUGGGCUUGAGGGAGGUAGGGGUCUGUGGAACUUCUGGUGGAGCGGUGAAAUGCGUUGAUAUCAGAAGGAACGCCGGUGGCGAAAGCGACGGACUGGACCUCUUCUGACGCUGAGGCGCGAAAGCUAGGGGAGCAAACGGG